AGCCCGCUCAGAAACUACAAAUGAAUGACGGGGCCCGCACAAGCGGAGGAGCAUGUGGUUUAAUUCGAUGAUACGCGAGGAACCUUACCUGGGCUCGAACGUAAGAUGACUGUAGGUGAAAGCUUACAUCUCUUCGGAGCAUUUUACGAGGUGCUGCAUGGUUGUCGUCAGCUCGUGCCGUGAGGUGUCGGGUUAAGUCCCAUAACGAGCGCAACCCUACCUUUAGUUGCCAUCAGGUAAUGCUGGGGACUCUAAAGGAACUGCCUACGCAAGUAGUGAGGAAGGCGGGGAUGACGUCAAAUCAGCACGGCCCUUACGUCCAGGGCUACACACAUGCUACAAUGGCCGAUACAGAGGGCAGCUACCUGGUGACAGGAUGCAAAUCUCCAAAGUCGGUCUCAGUUCGGAUCGGAGUCUGCAACCCGACUCCGUGAAGUUGGAUUCGCUAGUAAUCGCGCAUCAGCCAUGGCGCGGUGAAUACGUUCCCGGGCCUU
rnacentral:rRNA from 1 species